rnacentral:rRNA from 1 species
GGUUGAUCCUGCCAGUAGUCAUAUGCUUGUCUCAAAGAUUAAGCCAUGCAUGUCUAAGUAUAAACUGCUUAUACUGUGAAACUGCGAAUGGCUCAUUAAAUCAGUUAUAGUUUAUUUGAUGGUACCUCUACUCGGAUAACCGUAGUAAUUCUAGAGCUAAUACGUGCGUAAAUCCCGACUUCUGGAAGGGACGUAUUUAUUAGAUAAAAGGCCAGCCGGGCUCACGCCCGACCUGCGGUGACUCAUGAUAACUUCACGAAUCGCACGGCCUUGCGCCGGCGAUGUUUCAUUCA